GAGGAAUCUAAUGCUAAAUCUGACCCGGAUGAGUCCACCUCUGAUAGCAAUUUGAAAGAAUCUGAUGUUGUCAAUUCACAGCCCAGGACAAAAACUGGUCGGUGCAAGAAACAAAUGGCCCAAAAACCUCAGGUCAUUAUCAAAUUUUCUUGCUUUAACAAUUGGAGCGUUCACAUUUUUCCAGUGGAAAAGUACCAAAAAAGCAAAAUAUGCAAAAAACGAAAACAGUGCAAUGCACUUCUGACAGAUUCCUCAGACAGCGAUUUCCUCCCUGCUAAAACUUGUGGCUGCAAGCAACGAAAGAAGAAAAAACGUAAGGCCACUCUUAUGUUUUACCGCUUUAACAAUUGUCACCCGUUUUCCAGAGGAAAAAAACAAAAAACAAAAACUGACACCUCACAGACUAUAUAUGGAAUGAGAAAGGAACAAAUCUACAGAUUUUUAGUGAAAAUCUGUAUUAUGGAACUUGUUAUCCAUGUUGUAAAAAACAAACAAACAAAAAAAAAAAAACAGGCUGUGUCAUCAGUCUGGAAAAAAUUUCAGCUAUCACCAACUGGCUGUCUACCAAAGUCUGGCCUAAAAUCAGGCAUGUAUAUCAUAAAAUCCCCUUGAAGAAGUUUGAAAACUUACACAAGGCGAUUUUCAAAUUCCUAUGUCAAAGGUGCAAAAAUACAAAAACAAUUCUGCUAUUAAUGGUGUCAAAUCAGGAUGUCAUCAACAAAGAAAUUGUAAACUUUUUCAUAAAAAAGGCAUGCAAAAAAUCCAAAGUACAUCGAUUUUUCGCAUUCGUUGGCCAAAUGUUUGGUUUCACCAGCAGACCAAAUGUGGUUUCCCCAAUGGAUUCUCCACUUAGCCAAAGCCUGAGUGAGUCUGAUGAUGAUUCUGACCUGGACCAGUCUCGUACUGUUAGCCUUGUAGAUGAAUCUGAUUCUGUCAAUUCACAGGAAAAGCCACAAAAAAAUAACAAAACUAAAAAAAGAUCAAUCUCCAGAAAAUCAAAGAUUGGAAAAUACUUUUGAACAAAUGCUACACAAAUUGGAAAAAGAAACACUGCCAAUGUGAAGAACGUAUAUAUUAAUGUUGCCUUUCUUAAUGAUGUGCAAG
ensembl:lncRNA